CAGGUCUUGACAUCCUCUGACCAUCCUAGAGAUAGGACCUUCCCCUUCGGGGGACAGAGUGACAGGUGGUGCAUGGUUGUCGUCAGCUCGUGUCGUGAGAUGUUGGGUUAAGUCCCGCAACGAGCGCAACCCUUGUCCUUAGUUGCCAGCAUUUAGUUGGGCACUCUAAGGAGACUGCCGGUGACAAACCGGAGGAAGGUGGGGAUGACGUCAAAUCAUCAUGCCCCUUAUGACCUGGGCUACACACGUGCUACAAUGGAUGGUACAAAGGGUUGCGAAGCCGCGAGGUGAAGCCAAUCCCAUAAAACCAUUCUCAGUUCGGAUUGCAGGCUGCAACUCGCCUGCAUGAAGCCGGAAUCGCUAGUAAUCGUGGAUCAGCAUGCCACGGUGAAUACGUUCCC
rnacentral:rRNA from 1 species